UUUAUUUUGUGUUGGAUGCAGGUGCGCUCUUUCUCUCCAUGAGACAGACAACGGUGUUGCCCGGUACUGCCGCAUCUCCCUCGCAGGGAUGUCACACUCGCGUCUUGCAUUUUGUGCCGAAACUCAGGAGCCAGCGGUCUCGGCGUAAGCCGAAAUUAGACUUCGGCUGCAUUCUCAUGAUGGAGGUGUGAGGCCGUCGGUCCGCCUGAGAAGCGGAUUGGUCUCGGCUGCGCCGGCUGCUGGAGAGAGCACACGCACCUGGAUUGCGUUAGCUAAUCAGCCCAGUCAUUGGACCUGCUGGAGCAUGGAGACCCUGCUCCACUGCUCUGGAUUCACAAAGGAUGAGGGCCAUUCUUCCCCAGCCCUAGGGUUACUGAAGUACAGUAUAUCCUUCCGGAAGCUUCCAAAGUCUCAAGAGCCCAACAGACUUUGAUCCCUAUUCUGGAAUUUGCUUUCUAAGCAUAGUCCAUGACACACAUAGCCGGCUAUUAUGGGAACUCAGUUUCUCAGGCACUGUUAGAUGGGCUGGCAUACAUGCACUUGUACAGUAAUUCUGUCUAUGUUCAGUUCCUUUCUGUCCUAUUAAGGUUGAUUUAUUGAUUGAUUAAUUGAGAGUCGGACAGGGAGAGCUGUCCACAGCAGCACUGGUUGCAAAUUACAGAGUAAGUGACAAUGUGCCACAACAUGAUGACUAUUGAAUCAGCAACAGCAGCAGGUACAUCAUAUUGCCCUGAGAAUAAAUGAUUAUUCCCUGGCCUGUAUUUGCAUAGGUAUUCAACACUGUACUUCCUUAGGGUUUCAAGACAUUUGUCAUAAUUUUUAACUGUGGAGAAUGCAGCCAGGGCAAACCAGAAGUCCUGAUCAACAAACCUACAUCAUUCCCCAGUAAGCACAUGAAUGAUGAUGCCUUUCUGGAGGUGUGAUUUUAAUGGGUGCGCACUGGAUGUUUGUAGCAUGCUCCUAGGUCCCCGUCUACAGUUCAUAUCUCCUGUUUAUGCUUUUGGCACCUUCAAUAAGGGUGAGCAAGUGAACCGUGCACCCACCUACUUUCCAAAUGACAGCUUGGGUAAAAUUCUCUAGUGUACUCAGGUAAAAUGGAAUCUAUAAUUUAAAUACCUGAACGACCACAUAAACCCCUACCCCCCUGAA